AGUGCAUGAUGUGGACACUUUCGUAGCAAGUCGUUCAAACGCUCCCAAGCUUCAUGUAAUGUCUCUCCAUCACCUUGGAAAAAUUCAUGAAUUGAAGUUCUCAUUGU